rnacentral:rRNA from 1 species
GAUGAACGCUGGCGGCGUGCCUAAUACAUGCAAGUCGAACGAAACUUCUUUAUCACCGAGUGCUUGCACUCACCGAUAAAGAGGUGAGUGGCGAACGGGUGAGUAACACGUGGGCAGCCUGCCCAAAAGAGGGGGCUAACACUUGGCAACAGGUGCUAAUACCGCAUAACCAUAGUUACCGCAUGGUAACUAUGUAAAAGGUGGCUAUACUACCGCCUUUGGAUGGGCCCGCGGCGCAUUAGCUAGUUGGUAGGGUAAAGGCUUACCAAGGCAAUGAUGCGUAGCCGAAUUGAGAGGUUGAUCGGCCACAUUGGGACUGAGACACGGCCCAAACUCCUACGGGAGGCAGCAGUAGGGAAUCUUCCACAAUGGGCGAAAGCCUGAUGGAGCAACGCCGCGUGGGUGAAGAAGGUCUUCGGAUCGUAAAACCCUGUUGUUAGAGAAGAAAGUGCGUGAGAGUAACUGUUCACGUUUCGACGGUAUCUAACCAGAAAGCCACGGCUAACUACGUG